CGCGUAGGUGGUAGUGUAAGUCUGGGGUGGAAUCCCAGGGCUUGACCCUGGAACUGCCUUGGAAACUGCAUUACUUGAGUCAGUGAGGGGAGGGUAGAAUUCCUGGUGUAGCGGUGAAAUGCGUAGAUAUCAGGAGGAAGGCCUGUGGCGAAGGCGGCCCUCUGGCGCUGGACUGACACUGAGGCGCGAAAGCGUGGGGAGCAAACAGGAUUAGAUACCCUGGUAGUCCACGCCCUAAACGGUGGGCACUAGGUGUAGGGCUCGUAAGGGUUCUGUGCCGAAGGGAAACCAUUAAGUGCCCCGCCUGGGGAGUACGGCCGCAAGGUUGAA
rnacentral:rRNA from 1 species